rnacentral:rRNA from 1 species
UGAGGCGGAGCUAAUCCCUUAAAGCCAUUCUCAGUUCGGAUUGUAGGCUGAAACUCGCCUACAUGAAGCUGGAGUUACUAGUAAUCGCAGAUCAGAAUGCUGCGGUGAAUGCGUUCCCGGGUCUUGUACACACCGCCCGUCACACCACGGAAGUUGGGGGCGCCCGAAGCCACUUAGCUAACCCUUUGGGAAGCGAGUGUCGAAGGUGAAAUCAAUAACUGGGGUGAAGUCGUAACAAGGUACC